UAACAGAUCCCGAGCUAUGAAUAGCUACCCAACCCCGUCAGGAUCGGAAGAUAGCAGCGGCAAGUAGAUUAUUCAUGAGACUCGGCUCAUUUGUUACCG
rnacentral:SRP_RNA from 1 species